rnacentral:lncRNA from 12 species
UGGACUUUCCCGUCUGUCACUGCAGCUGGAGGUGACUUCCUGCUCCGUCAGCUGACUGUGAGUCACUCCACGGCUGCACGUUAGUUAGAGAGGCCGCUUCAAUUCUCCAGCUAGUUGGGAAAGAGAAGGAUAGGCGUGAGCCAUGGGACCUCCUCCUCAGAUCUCAAACCUCUGGGAUCCCCUUUUCCCAUGUUCAUUUAAAACUUCCACCGUGAUCAGUUCUGCUCUUCAGCUUCUGGUUCUGUGGUGAUGCCUCAAAAGACAGGAAAACCAGUUUCCUACUUUCCAGAAUGAAAAUGACAUUAAAAAAAUCCACCUCUGCAGCGAAUGAAUCAUUUUCGGGCAACCCCUUUCUCCAAGGGGGUCCUUCCUUUGAGACACAUUUCGGGGACGUCUUCAGUGAGGUUUCACCCGCAGGAAAAGCCUGGCCGCAGGCUGCCACAGGCCAGCCACGCAUGACGUACAGAGCAGCCCUUGUCUCACCCAGUAGGAGUGAUGCAGGCAAAAAACAC